rnacentral:rRNA from 1 species
GUGGAUUAGAUACCCUAGUAGUCCAUGCCGUAAACGUUGGGCACUAGGUGUGGGGGACAUUCCACGUUUUCCGCGCCGUAGCUAACGCAUUAAGUGCCCCGCCUGGGGAGUACGGCCGCAAGGCUAAAACUCAAAGGAAUUGACGGGGGCCCGCACAAGCGGCGGAGCAUGCGGAUUAAUUCGAUGCAACGCGAAGAACCUUACCAAGGCUUGACAUGGACUAGUAAAGCGCAGAGAUGUGCUCCCCUCUUGAGGCUGGUUCACAGGUGGUGCAUGGUCGUCGACAGCU